AGAAUGCAUAGAAAAUACAAGGGUAAGAAGAGGAAUCAUGUGGAAGAAGAGUAAACAUCUGAUGGUGUCCUGGGUAGCUGAAACUGUGGAAAGCAAAACCGUGGAUAAGGGGGAACUACUAUACUGAAAAUGUACAAAACAGAGAAGAUUUCAUUGAAGAAGUCUGCUGUUUCUGGAAUGGGAAAUUAAGAUAAAAAUUGAAGCUCUCAUCUUCUAUAACAUCAUUGGUUCUUUUGAAGCACAACUGGAACAGUUAUCGACUGUGAUUCUUGCUGGGACCAAUAACCUUCUACAAAUACCAACAUCAGUUUUUAUGAAAGGCAAAGAGCUGACAGGUUUACAGACUGCACCCUAACAUUAAGCUACCAGGAGAAACUUCCAAGUUACCCUCUUGUUACUUGUGCCCCAGAGGUGAACACUAUAAACUGCUACAGCAUGCAAUUUAGGGAGAGGUUCGUGAAGAAGUGAUUGGGAAAGAGAGCAAGUCUUGGUUGGACAGUGUGUCUGUUUUCAUGCUGCUGAUAAAGACAUACCUGAGACUGGGCAAUUUACAAAAGAAAGAGAUUUCUUGGACUUACAGUUCCACAUGGCCGGGGAGGCCUCACGAUCAUGGCAGAAGGCAAGGAGGAGCAAGUCACAUCUUAUGUGGAUGGCAGCAGGCAAAGAGAGAGCGAGCUUGUGCAAGGAGACUCCCAUUUUUAAAACCAUCAGAUCUCGUGAGACUUAUUCACUAUCAGGAGAACAGCAAGCUAAAUCAGUGUGAGACCAAGGACCCUGGGGCUCCUCCAGUCAUUGCAGCUGUAUCACAACUACCCUGACAGAUUUCUUGCUCAGGGCAAGCCACCUGCCAUGUCUUGAGAACACUCAAGCAGCACAUGGCGAGGAAUGGAGAUGGACAGACAUGGGCCAGCAAGAAACAGGCUUGCCAACAACAGCUUGCGUGAUCCUGAAAGUGGGUCCUCUAGCCCCAUGUGACUGUUGCCCUGGCCAACAACUUAACUGCAACCUCAAGAGAUACCUACCCUGAGUCAGAACCACCCAGUCAAACUACCCCUGGCAUCUUAACUCAGAGCCCCGUUGACUGGAGGAUGGCCAUUUGACAACACAUUAUUUCCUGAGGAAACUUUUGACUUCUGGUGACUUGGGCCCCAGGCAAGCUGGCUGAAUUUGCCAAGACCCGGCUUUGCCCUUGCAUGUGUGAAAAAUGGCCUCAAGUAUGACCCCAUGGCAAGAUGGAAAGAAACUGUGCUCUUGAAUAGCUUAGAGAUUCAGAGCCCCCCAACCAGCUUGAAACGCCCACCUCAAAACAAUGACAUGAGAAGAAACAAACCUCUAAUUUAAGCCACUGUCUUUUUAA
rnacentral:lncRNA from 1 species